CUGCAUAAGGAUGACUUGAACUGCAAAUAUUACAAUAACCUUGGAUCUAAUAAAUUGGAAGGGUGUUUGGAGAGGUCCAAAAGGCAAUUGAAUAAUUCAUUCUGGCCAAAAAGCAAAGAUUCAGAUAUGAGCAAAAAGACCAGAAAAGCUACUGAGGAAGACAUCAUUUAGUCCUUUGGUUCAGAGACUUGAAAACAACAGAAAAUAUUUAAUUUUAUUUUUCCAACGUAAAUAGUGUCAUGUUUAACAUACUUGCAACCAAAUUUAUGAAGUAAAAA
rnacentral:lncRNA from 1 species